rnacentral:tRNA from 1 species
GGUGAGGUGGCUGAGUGGUUUAAAGCACGCGCUUGGAGAGCGCGAGUCGCCGCAAGACGACCGUGGGUUCAAAUCCCACCCUCACCG